GCAACUUGAUCAACACCCCAUCCUUCUUGGAAUUAUUUUUAAAGUAUGAAAUGGACUUAAUUUGGUGUGGAAGAGAUCUUGGAAAGGUUGGCAUGCAUGCGUGAAUAGAGUCACGUGACUCAUCGCAGAAAGAGUCCUUCUGCCAUGGGGUAGAAGGAGGUGCUCCUUACUAAUAAACCUGCCAUUUGAAUCUUUAUUCAAAUAAAGAUUAACAUGGUAAGUUUUUUAGAAUUUUCUGAAUUGGAAAGGAUGCUUAAAACUGCUCUUGAUCUAGGGGCACACACGUGGAGGAAUAAAGUCACAUGAUGGUUCACGUGAAGAGUCGGUGGUCCCCAUCUGAAUAAUCCUACCAUUUGAAUUAGAUUUGAAUGAGGAUUAUUUAGGAUAUUUUUUUAGAAUUAUCUGAAAGAGGAAGGGAUGCCAUAAAUGCAUCUUUUGUGCAUGCAUGUGUGGUGAUGGGUGAAGGGCAAUUACUUGGAAGAGUCCUUCUGUUUGAAGGCUUUCUUCCUCUGACAUGCAACUAAUCUAAGGGGCAUGAAGAAGAGUUGUGACUUUUCUCCACCCAU
rnacentral:lncRNA from 1 species